GCAACGGAUAUCUCGGCUCUCGCAUCGAUGAAAAACGUAGCGAAAUGCGAUACGUGGUGUGAAUUGCAGAAUCCCGUGAACCAUCGAGUCUUUGAACGCAAGUUGCGCCCGAAGCCAUUUGGCCGAGGGCACGUCUGCCUGGGCGUCACG
rnacentral:rRNA from 1 species